AUGGACCUUAUGGCCGGUGACGGGUCCGCCACUGCCGCACUGUCUCUGAACUUGGUGGAGACGUGGAAGGAGAGUGGUGGCGCCGUGAAGACCUUGGCGUCUGCUGCCGCGACCACGACCAUGACCAUUGCGUCGAAGACAAGGAACAUGACACAGUAUUUUUAUGGAUUUCCAGAAGACAAGGACCAGGACCACAGCAAACAUCCUGAGUUGGAAGACAAAAGUACUAAUGCAACCAUGGAAGGGGUGGAAGGUAAAGCCAUUUUGAGGGAUAUAUUAACAAUAAAGAACUUAUUAACCUUUUUUUUAUAA
rnacentral:rRNA from 1 species